UACGUAGGCAGCAAGCGUUGUUCGGAAUUACUGGGCGUAAAGAGUGUGUAGGCGGUUUUCUAAGUUUGGUGUGAAAUCUCCCGGCUUAACUGGGAGGGUGCGCCGAAAACUGGAAGGCUUGAGUGCCGGAGAGGAUAGCGGAAUUCCCGGUGUAGCGGUGAAAUGCGUAAAUAUCGGGAGGAACACCUGUGGUGUAGACGGCUAUCUGGACGGCGACUGACGCUGAGACACGAAAGCGUGGGUAGCAAACAGG
rnacentral:rRNA from 1 species